rnacentral:lncRNA from 12 species
ACUUUCCAGAUUGGUUUUACUCCCGAGAAAGAGAAGACUCUAGAAACUUGGACACGAUUUUCCAAAAUGUGAAAAACAUGGAAGACAUCACUGCUGUAUCUUGGGAGAGAAGGAGUCAGAUAAAAGGAUAUGGCCACAUUGCUUUCAUCCCAGAAUAACAACACUCAAGUGCCUGAGAAGCCCAACACAGAGUUCAAAGUCUUUAUUUCUAGUCUCUGGUGAGAGUGUAAAAGGAAGAAUGUGGGCUUGUUCUUACCUGCCUGAGAUUGAAGAGGAAGGGAAGGGCGGGUGUGACCAUCCCAUCCCACCUAGUGACUUUGCCAUUAAAUCCUUGUGUUAUGCACAUAGUCCCCACAUGCUCUAGACUGGUAGCAAGAGAAUUUAGUUGGGUGGUGGGGAUCAAGAAUCCCCCCUGAAUGUUGCGCCCUGAAAAAACUUUUGUCAUUUCUAAUAAUUGUGUAAAAUAACAUACAACUAACAGAUGGCUGUGACUCCUGCUCCUCAACACAAGUGCCCCUCAUUCUCUACUCCCUCACAGAGAUAGAAGUAAAUCCUAUCUAAGCCACACUUGUGAUGCUGCCAGCCUGGGGCAGAAAUGAGAGUCUGCAGAAGAACCAGUGGACCACAGCACUGGAUCUGGAAGUUCUGAGUCUCUCUCGUUGAGAAGCAGAGAGUACCUGUUUGAGAUCUUUAGUGAGUAACAACACCUGUUUCCUCUGGCAGUACUCCUUCAUCACUUCAUUGAUUCUGCAGUGAACCAUACUCUAAAGGUUUUACCGGGGGAUCUGGUCUGUGAACAUUCACUCCUAGUUCUGUUUCACAAGAAGAGGUGUGAGAACUUCAAGAUCAUAAACAAAUCAAAUGACCACCUUGGAAGACUAAUUCGCUGUCUACAGGAGGAUAGCAUUUGCACAUUUGAUAUGAUUUCACAACCGUGAUAAAUAACUAAGAGUAGCAUGGAACAUGCAACCAGGCAACUGCUCAAGAAUGACUUCAAGGGAUUGCCUCUCCAUCCUCUGAAACACUAGGCUGAAGAGUCCUGAUUUUUGUAGCACAUCCCUCUCCUUUUCUGACUUGUAGUUGGAUAAAACAUUGGGCUGUAUACCAGUGAUUCCUAACCCACCUGGUACAGUUAUUCACAAAGGCAUGGUGAAAUGAGAAAAGUCACAAAAUUGCGUGGGUUGUUCGUGAGACCAAGCUUAUUGCAUUUAAUAGAAUUUUUCUCACUUUAAGAUUGUGCUUUUACAUUUAGGUGAUAAAAUAUACUUCCUCCUAAAGGAAUAUUAUGUAGAGUGAAUGUGGAUAUAUGUGUAUGUGUAUGUGUUCACAUGUGUAUGUAUUUAAUGUACUUACUUGGCAAAGGAAAGUGGAAAAACCUAUCUCUGGGAAAUUUUACCAGUCUCUGAAGUUCCAAGAUCUGGGAGCCACUGUUUUGUACAGUGUUUUGUAUACUGGAAGGUAAAAGAGAUAGAGUUCAUCUUAGCUAUUUCUUUAGAAAAUUUAAUUGAUUUAUUUUAGAGUAGUUUUAAGUGUACAGAAGAUGAGUAAAAGUACGGAGAGUUUGCAUAAAUCCUCUUCCAUUCACUCAGUUUUCCCUUAAAAAUACGUAAUGUAGUAUUCAUUUGCUACUAAUAAAAGGAUAUUCAUCACGAAAUGUCA